rnacentral:rRNA from 1 species
UACGUAGGGUGCGAGCGUUAAUCGGAAUUACUGGGCGUAAAGCGUGCGCAGGCGGUUCGUUAAGUCAGCUGGGAAAGCCCCGAGCUUAACUUGGGAAUUGCGGUUGAAACUGGCGGACUAGAAUCUGGCAGAGGGGGGUGGAAUUCCUGGUGUAGCAGUGAAAUGCGUAGAUAUCAGGAGGAAUACCGAUGGCGAAGGCAGGUCUCUGGGCUGACACUGACGCUCAUGCACGAAAGCGUGGGGAGCAAACAGG